rnacentral:rRNA from 1 species
AACGAACGCUGGCGGCAGGCCUAAUAUAUGCAAGUCGAACGAUGCAGCAAUGCAUAGUGGCGCACGGGUGAGAAACGCGUGGGAACCUACACCGAAGUGAGGAAUAGCUACUGGAAACGGUAAUUAAUACCUCAUAAUGUCUACGGACCAAAGAUUUAUCGCUUCGGAAUGGGCCCGCGUUGGAUUAGCUAGUUGGUGGGGUAACGGCCUACCAAGGCUACGAUCCAUAGCUGGUCUGAGAGGAUGAUCAGCCACACUGGAACUGACACACGGUCCAGACUCCUACGGGAGGCAGCAGUAAGGGAUAUUGGACAAUGGGGGCAACCCUGAUCCAGCCAUGCCGCGUGAAUGAUGAAGGCCUUCGGGUUGUAAAGCUCUUUCAGUGGUGAAGAUGAUGACGGUAACCACAGAAGAAGCUCCGGCUAACUUCGUGCCAGCCGCCGCUGUAAAAC